AGUGCAUGAUGAGGGCACUUUCAUAGCAAGUCAUUCAAACACUCCCAAGCUUCAUGUAAUGGCUCUCCAUCACCUUGAGAAAAUUCCUGAAUCGAAGUUCUUAUGGCAUU